AUAUAUAUAUCAAGCUUCUCUUGUUGAGUGGUUUGGAUGUGGGGGUUUUUUGCUGGGCCUCUUAAAGGGUUCAGCUCCCCUGAAAUGCAUUAGCAGAACAACCCUGUUCAUUGGUGUGAUAACUAUCUAUGCUAUUGAAUGUGAGGGGCAGUUCAGCUUUCUAACAGUCCUUGGACAAUUCAUCAUUA
rnacentral:misc_RNA from 1 species